rnacentral:RNase_P_RNA from 1 species
GAAGCCAGCCAGACCGUCGCCGCCCUCGGUUCGAGGGGGAGGAAAGUCCGGGCUCCACAGAGCAGGAUGCCGGGUAACGCCCGGACGCUAUAAGUCGCCGCUCGCGCGGAUGACGAAGGCGAGGAACAGGGCCACAGAGACGAGUCGUCCCGGCGUCAAACCCGGGACGGGUGAAACGCGGCAACCUCCAUCCGGAGCAACACCAAGUAGGCGGACAUCGACGCUGCUCGCGUAAGUCCGCGGGUAGGUGGCUCGAGCCCGGCGGCAACGCCGGGCCUAGACGAAUGACGGUCAUAGCGCGCGCAGGCGCGCCGUAACAGAACCCGGCUUAUCGGCUGACUUCGCUU